rnacentral:misc_RNA from 1 species
UUUCCGUAGGUGAACCUGCGGAAGGAUCAUUAUUGGAUUUUGAGACUUCAGGCUGCUGCUGGCUCUCCUCGGAGGGCAUGUGCACGCCUGUUGUCCAUUAUUUCUCCCACUGUGCACAAAUUGUAGACCUUUCAGUAGGCCUAUGUUGUUUUUCACAAUCUCUGAAUGUAAUAGAAUGGUUUUGAAUCUUGGGAAAUACAAUACAACUUUCAGCAACGGAUCUCUUGGCUCUCGCAUCGAUAAAGAACGCAGC